GACGAACGCUGGCGGCGUGCCUAAUACAUGCAAGUAGAACGCUGAAGGAGGAGCUUGCUUCUCCGGAUGAGUUGCGAACGGGUGAGUAACGCGUAGGUAACCUGCCUGGUAGCGGGGGAUAACUAUUGGAAACGAUAGCUAAUACCGCAUAAGAGUAGAUGUCGCAUGACAUUUGCUUAAAAGGUGCAAUUGCAUCACUACCAGAUGGACCUGCGUUGUAUUAGCUAGUUGGUGAGGUAACGGCUCACCAAGGCAACGAUACAUAGCCGACCUGAGAGGGUGAUCGGCCACACUGGGACUGAGACACGGCCCAGACUCCUACGGGAGGCAGCAGUAGGGAAUCUUCGGCAAUGGACGGAAGUCUGACCGAGCAACGCCGCGUGAGUGAAAGAAAGGGUUUUUCGGGAUCGUAAAAGCUUCUGUUGUAAAGAGAAAGAAACGCCACUG
rnacentral:rRNA from 1 species